rnacentral:rRNA from 1 species
GACGAACGCUGUCGGCGUGCUUAACACAUGCAGGUCGAACGGAAAGGCCCUGCUUUUGUGGGGUGCUCGAGUGGCGAACGGGUGAGUAACACGUGAGUAACCUGCCCUUGACUUUGGGAUAACUUCAGGAAACUGGGGCUAAUACCGGAUAGGAGCUCCUGCUGCAUGGUGGGGGUUGGAAAGUUUCGGCGGUUGGGGAUGGACUCGCGGCUUAUCAGCUUGUUGGUGGGGUAGUGGCUUACCAAGGCUUUGACGGGUAGCCGGCCUGAGAGGGUGACCGGCCACAUUGGGACUGAGAUACGGCCCAGACUCCUACGGGAGGCAGCAGUGGGGAAUAUUGCACAAUGGGCGGAAGCCUGAUGCAGCAACGCCGCGUGCGGGAUGACGGCCUUCGGGUUGUAAACCGCUUUCGCCUGUGACGAAGCGUGAGUGACGGUAAUGGGUAAAGAAGCACCGGCUAACUACGUG